AUGCGCCUUGUUUAUCUCAUCCUCGCUGCCUUCCUGAGGCAACCACUGGAUGUCAUGGGGCAGACCUCCGUCACCCAGCAAGAAGGACAAGUCACCGUGGAACAGAGAAACACAUUCCAGACCACUUGCACGUAUCAAAUCCCCAGCUUGUAUGCCUUGUUCUGGUACCAGCAGAAGAAGGGACAAGCCCCUCAACUGGUCACAUUUCACAACACAGCAGGCACCAAGCAGAACGGCCGUUUCACCACGGGGCUGAACACUGUGGGGAAAUCCAGCAUUCUGCGGCUGAAGGAAGUUGAGCUCUCUGACAGCGCCUUGUACCUCUGUGCUGUGAGUGACACCCUGCUAUCUGCCAGCCAGAUCCUCUUUCCCAGUGGGACUGGUGUCAGUGGCUUGAAAGGAAGGAGAAGUUCCCUCCUCUAUACCCACGCCACUGCCAAUGUCUCCCUCAACAAAGUGGUGUCCAUCUUCUCCAGGGCUGUGAUGCCCCUGCUCCAUGCAACAAUGUACAGCCUGGGGACCCAGAAGGUGAAAGAAGCCAUGGGAAAACUGAGAAACUGA